CAGUGGGUACGGGCAGACUAGAGUGCGGUAGGGGAGAAGGGAAUUCCUGGUGUAGCGGUGGAAUGCGCAGAUAUCAGGAGGAACACCAAUGGCGAAGGCACUUCUCUGGGCCGCUACUGACGCUGAGGAGCGAAAGCGUGGGGAGCGAACAGGAUUAGAUACCCUGGUAGUCCACGCCGUAAACGUUGGGCGCUAGAUGUGGGUCACAUUCCACGUGAUCCGUGUCGCAGCUAACGCAUUAAGCGCCCCGCCUGGUGAGUACGGCCGCAAGGCUAAAACUCAAAGGAAUUGACGGGGCCCCGCACAAGCAGCGGAGCAUGCGGCUUAAUUCGACGCAACGCGGAGAACCUUACCAAGGCUUGACAUAUACAGGAAUAUGGCAGAAAUUCCAUAGCCGCAAGGUCUGUAUACAGGUGGUGCAUGGUUGUCGUCAGCUCGUGUCGUGAGAUGUUGGGUUAAGUCCCGCAACGAGCGCAACCCUCGUUCUGUGUUGCCAGCAUUUAGUUGGGGACUCACAGGAGACUGCCGGGGUUAACUCGGAGGAAGGUGGGGAUGACGUCAAAUCAUCAUGCCCCUUACGUCCAGGGCAACACACGUGCUACAAUGGGCGAUACAGAGUGUUGCGAGCUAGUAAUAGUAAGCCAAU
rnacentral:rRNA from 1 species